rnacentral:rRNA from 1 species
GACGAACGCUGGCGGCGUGCUUAACACAUGCAAGUCGAACGGACAGGCCCUGCUUUUGUGGGGUUCUCGAGUGGCGAACGGGUGAGUAACACGUGUGUAACCUGCCCUUGACUUUGUGAUAACUUCAGGAAACUGGGGCUAAUACCGGAUAGGAGCUCCUGCUGCAUGGUGGGGGUUGGAAAGUUUCGGCGGUUGGGGAUGUUCUCGCUGCUUAUCAGCUUGUUUGUGUGGUAGUGGCUUACCAAGGCUUUGACGGGUAGCCGGCCUGAGAGGGUGACCGGCCACAUUGGGACUGAGGUACGGACCAGAAUCCUACGGGAGGCAGCAGGGGGGAAUAUUGCACAAUGGGCGGAAGCCUGAUGCGGCAACGCCGCGUGCGGGAUGACGGGCUUCGGGUUGUAAACCGCUUUCGAAUGUGACGAAGCGUGAGUGACGGUAAUGGGUAAAGAAGCACCGGCUAACUACGUG